AGAUUGAACGCUGGCGGCAUGCCUUACACAUGCAAGUCGAACGGCAGCACGGGAGCAAUCCUGGUGGCGAGUGGCGAACGGGUGAGUAAUACAUCGGAACGUGCCCAAUCGUGGGGGAUAACGCAGCGAAAGCUGUGCUAAUACCGCAUAAGAUCUACGGAUGAAAGCAGGGGAUCGCAAGACCUUGCGCGAAUGGAGCGGCCGAUGGCAGAUUAGGUAGUUGGUGAGGUAAAGGCUCACCGAGCCUUCGAUCUGUAGCUGGUCUGAGAGGACGACCAGCCACACUGGGACUGAGACACGGCCCAGACUCCUACGGGAGGCAGCAGUGGGGAAUUUGGACAAUGGGCGAAAGCCUGAUCCAGCCAUGCCGCGUGCAGGAUGGAAGCCGUUCGGUGUAAACUGUCUUUGUACGGAACGAAAGUCUCUUUACGUAAUAAAGAGGAUACAUGACGUACCGUAAGAAUAAGACGACCGACUAACUACGUACG
rnacentral:rRNA from 1 species